rnacentral:lncRNA from 1 species
AAAAUACCUGCAAAGUGCUCUUGCCCACUGCAAUCCAAAAGGUCUUCCAGAUCACAGUUUCUAGUGUCACCUCACAAGCAAUCAGCUCAUCUAUAGAUAAACUUGAAGAAGACAGCAGACAAGGAAGCUUAUCCCACACAUGGUGUAUGUGAUACUAGGCCAGUGUCUACUUCUAACUCGCUGAGAAAUACAAUUUGCAAAUCUCUUGUCUUACAUAGACAAACAUACAUGCUGAAGUCUUGGGAAAUAAUUUGGGCUUUUCUUUUUUUCUUAGAAAUGUUGGGAAGCAAUUCAAUUCUAUCUCAACUUAGGUGCUUAUCUCUAUACUGAAUGUUUGAGAACAGAAAGCUGUUGAGGGCAUGAUCUGUGCCCCCCAAGAGCUUAUCAUCCAAUGAGAAAGUAGAAGCCGAGGUACCAUGUUGCUUAUCCAGAACAGUUUAUAGACCUUGUGUCCUUUGUUAGAUGGAAGGUUCUGUAAAUCAGUAGUAAUUUGCUGUGUCAUGUGAAACCCUUUGCUGUUGCCAGGAAAUAACUAAAGCACCAAAAAGCUUUGGCAAAAAUAAUCCUGGAAAAGGAGACCAGGCAAAAGAAGACUUUCCACACCUAUACUGAGCCUGGGAGUUACCCCUAAAAAAAAAAAAAAAAAAAAAAAAAAAAAACUAAUCUGAGAGAGAUGUUUACACAUUUUUAAUACUCUCAGUUUGUAGAUAAUGGAUCUAAUUUAAUGUCAUGAAUUAUAUUGUCUCUUGUCUCAUAAGUAACAUACAUUUUUGGCUGUCUUAACCAGCUGUCAUUCAAUGAAUGAAGUUAAUAACUCAGGUACCUGAUGCCAAAAAUAAAUCUCUAAUAGAACUGAGAAUUCAGAGAUAAAUACAAGGCUGUAUGUUAAGUAAGUGGUAAGCCUUACGUUUCAGAUCAGGGGAAAGAAUGGCUUAGUCAACAGGUAGUAUUGAGACUGUAACCUUAAGGGGUGGGGGAAAGGGAAACUCAGCUCUCUCACAAAAAUUAAAAAUUCCAGCCACACUAGAAGUGAGUCUUCUGUUUUGGAAAUUCAAAGCCUUGAUAAUAUAUGAAAGUGAAUAGCUUUACAAAUAAGUUAUGAAGAGCUGCUCAGCCUUGGCAGAGCAAAGCACACAUGAAACACACUAUCUUUGUUGAGAUCCAGUUGGUGAACAUGAGACACGAGGAUCAAGAGCUGACAAGUGUGGAAAAGUAGGAAUCUGACAUCACGUAAGUUUGCACAGCCACUUUUAAAGGCAGCUGGGUAAUUGAAAUUUUAGAUGCCCUGUGACCCCAUGGUUCCAAUUUUUAAUAUCUACCCUAAAACACACACACAGAGACGUUCACAAGGCAGCUUGUAAGAGUAUGCUAUUGGAAAAAUCAAAAUCCACCAAGAUAAUGGAAUAUGCUCAAUGCUACAACAUAUUAGGUAUCAGUGGGAAAGAAUGAAGAAGUAAGAAUGUGUGCUGACAGUAGAUGUCUAGGAGGUAAUGUUAACUUUGUUAAAAGUCUGGGGGGAAAAUACAUGUAAUACACAUGAUACUGUUGGUAUUUUAAAAAAAUGCCAUACACAAUACUGUAUAGUGUACUUCUGCAAAUACCUUUCAGUGUACAAUAUAAAUAUAGAGAGAAGGUUUGGAAGAAUACUAACCAAGCUGUUUACAGUAGUUUGGUGGUGUGUGUUAGCUUAAACUGUAAUAUUUGAUGUUUUUGAAUCUGCAUUCAUGUACUGUUUGUGUAAUGACAAAUUAAUAAAUUAGAAAUAAAAUGCAAUAGAAGGUGU